UACAGAGGUCCCAAGCGUUGUUCGGAUUCAUUGGGCGUAAAGGGUGCGUAGGCGGCGCGGUAAGUCAGGUGUGAAAUCUCGGAGCUUAACUCCGAAACUGCAUUCGAUACUGCCGUGCUUGAGGACUGGAGAGGAGACUGGAAUUUACGGUGUAGCGGUGAAAUGCGUAGAUAUCGUAAGGAAGACCAGUGGCGAAGGCGGGUCUCUGGACAGUUCCUGACGCUGAGGCACGAAGGCCAGGGGAGCAAACGGG
rnacentral:rRNA from 1 species